rnacentral:rRNA from 1 species
UACGUAGGGUGCGAGCGUUAAUCGGAAUUACUGGGCGUAAAGUGUGCGCAGGCGGCUUCGCAAGUCGAGUGUGAAAUCCCCGAGCUUAACUUGGGAAUUGCGCUCGAAACUACGGAGCUGGAGUGUGGCAGAGGAAGGUGGAAUUCCACGUGUAGCGGUGAAAUGCGUAGAGAUGUGGAGGAACACCGAUGGCGAAGGCAGCCUUCUGGGCCAACACUGACGCUCAUGCACGAAAGCGUGGGAGCAAACAGG